rnacentral:sRNA from 1 species
UGGACUAAGCCAAAUUACUGUUCUACCCACAGACAAGGUAAAGCAUGGGACAUAGCAGUGCAUGCUUCCUUACAUUUCCUCCCCUUUGUACUUCAGCCCUUAUAUGGAGACACCGCCUUUUCAGCUGAGACAGCAGUUCAGUCUCCAUAGAUUAUUUCA